rnacentral:rRNA from 1 species
UGUAGCCUAGGGGGGCAGCAGUGGGGAAUAUUGGGCAAUGGGCGCAAGCCUGACCCAGCAACGCCGCGUGAAGGAAGAAGGCUUUCGGGUUGUAAACUUCUUUUAUGAGGGACGAAACAAAUGACGGUACCUCAUGAAUAAGCCACGGCUAACUACGUGCCAGCAGCCGCGGUAAUACGUAGGUGGCAAGCGUUAUCCGGAUUUACUGGGUGUAAAGGGCGUGUAGGCGGGACUGCAAAUCAGAUGUGAAAAUUAUGGGCUCAACCCAUAACCUGCAUUUGAAACUGUAGUUCUUGAGUGAUGGG